GACGAACGCUGGCGGCGUGCCUAAUACAUGCAAGUAGAACGCACAGUUUAUACCGUAGCUUGCUACACCAUAGACUGUGAGUUGCGAACGGGUGAGUAACGCGUAGGUAACCUGCCUGGUAGCGGGGGAUAACUAUUGGAAACGAUAGCUAAUACCGCAUAAUAUUCAUUAUUGCAUGAUAAUUAAUUGAAAGGUGCAAUUGCACCACUACCAGAUGGACCUGCGUUUUAUUAGCUAGUAGGUGAGGUAACGGCUCAACUAGGCGACGAUACAUAGCCGACCCGGGGAGGGGAACGGGCCAAAUGGGACUGAGACCAGGCCCAGGAUCCUAAGGGAGGGAGGAGUAGGGAAUCUUCGGCAAUGGACGAAAGUCUGAACGAGCAACGCCGCGUGAGUGAAGAAGGUUUUCGGAUCGUAAAGCUCUGUUGUAAGAGAAGAACGGGUGUGAGAGUGGAAAGUUCACACUGUGACGGUAUCUUACCAGAAAGGGACGGCUAACUACGUG
rnacentral:rRNA from 1 species